rnacentral:rRNA from 1 species
UGGAGCAUGUGGUUAAUUCGAAGCAACGCGAAGAACCUUACCAGGUCUUGACAUCCCGAUGCUAUUCUAGAGAUAGAAAGUUACUUCGGUACAUCGGUGACAGGUGGUGCAUGGUUGUCGUCAGCUCGUGUCGUGAGAUGUUGGGUUAAGUCCCGCAACGAGCGCAACCCCUAUUGUUAGUUGCCAUCAUUCAGUUGGGCACUCUAGCGAGACUGCCGGUAAUAAACCGGAGAAGUGGGGAUGACGUCAAAUCAUCAUGCCCCUUAUGACCUGGGCUACACACGUGCUACAAUGGUUGGUACAACGAGUUGCGAGUCGGUGACGGCGAGCUAAUCUCUUAAAGCCAAUCUCAGUUCGGAUUGUAGGCUGCAACUCGCCUACAUGAAGUCGGAAUCGCUAGUAAUCGCGGAUCAGCACGCCGCGGUGAAUACGUUCCCGGGUUUU